GCCUGGGUGGCUGAGUCAGUUAAGCGUCUGACUUCAACUCAGGUCAUGAUCUCAUGGUUCAUGGGUUUGAACCCCACACUGGGCU
rnacentral:tRNA from 1 species